rnacentral:rRNA from 1 species
GAUGAACGCUAGCGAUAGGCUUAACACAUGCAAGUCGAGGGGCAGCACAAGGUAGCUUGCUAUCUGGGUGGCGACCGGCGCACGGGUGCGUAACGCGUAUGCAACUUGCCCUAUACAGGAGGAUAACCCGUCGAAAGACGGACUAAUACUGCGUAUGCUCACAACUUGGCAUCAAGUGGUGAGGAAAGAAAUUCGGUAUAGGAUAGGCAUGCGUCCCAUUAGCUUGUUGGUGAGGUAACGGCUCACCAAGGCAACGAUGGGUAGGGGAACUGAGAGGUUUAUCCCCCACACUGGUACUGAGACACGGACCAGACUCCUACGGGAGGCAGCAGUGAGGAAUAUUGGUCAAUGGGCGCGAGCCUGAACCAGCCAGGUCGCGUGAAGGAUGACUGUCUUAUGGAUUGUAAACUUCUUUUAUACGGGAAUAACAAGAGUCACGUGUGACUCCCUGCAUGUACCGUAUGAAUAAGCAUCGGCUAACUCCGUG